rnacentral:rRNA from 1 species
UACGUAGGGUGCGAGCGUUAAUCGGAAUUACUGGGCGUAAAGCGUGCGCAGGCGGUUCGCUAAGACCGAUGUGAAAUCCCCGGGCUUAACCUGGGAACUGCAUUGGUGACUGGCGGGCUAGAGUAUGGCAGAGGGGGGGUAGAAUUCCACGUGUAGCAGUGAAAUGCGUAGAGAUGUGGAGGAAUACCGAUGGCGAAGGCAGCCCCCCUGGGCCAAUACUGACGCUCAUGCACGAAAAGCGUGGGGGAGCAAACAGG